rnacentral:lncRNA from 1 species
UUUUGACAUUUCGUUUUCGUUGGAGACGGCCAUUUUUGCUUUUUAGGAAUUUAGGACAAUAAUUUAGGUAGCUAACUUGGUCACUUGGUCAAAUCAUCAAAAGGUCAUAAUGAAAUGAAUAAUGAAUAGUAAGUUACGUGAGCUGGGUUUAGGUAAUGUUGAGAGAUGCUAUAUGAUACCCUGUUUUAAAGUGGAAAUGAAUAAAUGUUAAAUCUGCAGACAUAAUUCUCUCUAAAAGAUGAAUCUAUAAUCAAACCCUUGAAGCUUUAUGUGACAAAAUGUAAAUGUAUCGUCGACAACUGAAAUGUAAAAGCAGCAGCCAUGGUCAAAUCACAGAGUCUGAUUAUUGGAUUUUUGAUUAUUCCUGAAUGCAGACAUGAAGUUUAGUUUGCUGGUUACCACAAAAGAUUUUCUGCCGAAGAUGCAAUUUUAAACCUUCUUUACGGAUUCAUAGAAUACGCUAGUAUAUUGGAUCUGCAUAAACAGGAAAAAGAGACAAUGUCAAAUAACAUUCAAAAUCUUGAUCUAAUGUAUAAAUGUAAUUAUAUACUGUCUUGUUAAUAUUAAAUGUUGUUUGUAAUGGC